UACUGUUCAUGAUGAAUAAUUCUAAGCAAUGGGAAUCUCUCUGAGAGAGGCUGAGGAGGAAUUCUGUGCUGAAACAGUA
ensembl:snoRNA SNORD79 Small nucleolar RNA SNORD79